rnacentral:tRNA from 1 species
AGGCUAUUAGCUCAGUUGGUAGAGCGCACCCCUGAUAAGGGUGAAGUCCUUGGUUCAAGUCCAUGAUAGCCUA